rnacentral:rRNA from 1 species
AGCGAACGUUUGCGGCGGGCUUAACACAUGCAAGUCGAACGAGAAUUCCUUCGGGGAGGAAAGUGGCGCACGGGUGCGUAACACGUGGAUAACCAACCCAUUGGUUUGGGACAACACCGGGAAACUGGUGCUAAUACCAGAUGUGUCGCAGCUGUCUUCAGGCGGUUGCGAGAAAGGCCCGCAAGGGUCGCCAACGGACGGGUCCGCGUCCCAUCAGCUAGUUGGUGAGGUAAUGGCUCACCAAGGCAAAGACGGGUAGCUGGUCUGAGAGGAUGAUCAGCCACACUGGAACUGAGACACGGUCCAGACUCCUACGGGAGGCAGCAGUGGGGAAUAUUGCGCAAUGGGCGAAAGCCUGACGCAGCCACGCCGCGUGAGCGAUGAAGGUCUUCGGAUCGUAAAGCUCUGUGGGGGGAGAAGAAGAAAGCCGGUGAAGAGCCGGCCCUGACGGUAUCCCCUUAGCAAGCACCGGCUAACUCCGUGCCAGCAGCCGCGGUAAAGU